CCUCACCUCCAGAGUUUUGAAUGUGUUAGUUCUGGGGUGGGCCCAAGAAUCUGCAUUUUUAACAAGUUCCCAGGUGAUGCU
rnacentral:pre_miRNA from 1 species